AAGCUCGUAGUUGAAUUUCGGGAUUAGUACGUUGGUCGUGCCUUAGGUACGUACUGGUGUUACUGGUUCCUACCUUCUGACGAACCAUCAUGUCAUUAAUUUGGUGUGGUGGGGAAUCAGGACUGUUACUUUGAAAAAAUUAGAGUGUUCAAAGCAGGCUCGCGCUUGAAUACAUUAGCAUGGAAUAAUGAAAUAGGACGUUGAUCCUAUUUUGUUGGUUUCUAGGAUUGACGUAAUGAUUAAUAGGGAUAGUUGGG
rnacentral:rRNA from 1 species